rnacentral:lncRNA from 1 species
GGAAUCAACAGUUAAAACAAACAGACAAAUGUGCACAGUACAAAGCUCAAGGCAUAUGAGCCAAGCAACCUACAAAACAAAGAGGUUAGCUCAUGAUAAUCAGAUGAACUCAAUCAAAUUGUAGUGAUCUCUUUGAAGCAUUUGUAGCUUAACCUGAAAACAUGAACUCAAACAUAAGCCACAGGACCACUAGGACAAGCCUAGGGUCAAAAAUGAAUGAGAAAGCCAAAACAGCAAGCAAUGUCCAAUCAAAA